UGGGUAACCGGCGAACGGGUGCGUAACACGUGAGCGACCUGCCUUUCCGCGGGGGAUAGCCGGCCCAACGGCCGGGUAAUACCGCAUACGCUGCUUUGGGGGCAUCCCCGAAGUAGGAAACCUCCGGGGCGGAGAGAGGGGCUCGCGACCUAUCAGCUAGUUGGCGGGGUAACGGCCCACCAAGGCGGCGACGGGUAGCUGGUCUGAGAGGAUGGCCAGCCACAUUGGGACUGAGAUACGGCCCAG
rnacentral:rRNA from 1 species